AAGAGGCGUUUAAAUACAUUUACAAAGAGUAUUAAAUGCAGCUCAGAGGUGGCAUGAAUGCAUUUACACUGCAUGUUACACUGAUUACAAGAGCAUACACUAUACUAUGACAUUAAUGUUUUCUAAAUAAAAUUAUACUUUAAAUAUGAAACUGAAACCACCAAUAGUUUGGCAGAAUAUUCUUGUCUUAAUGAAUGAAUCACUGAAUUGCUUAUUCGAUUCAUUCUGUAUCAAAGCAAAUGACUGUCUGCUGUUCUGCAGUGAAGCACUGCACUCUCAAAACGUGUUUUUGUUUGAUUGUGCAAAGUUGUCGAAGAUACAAAGAGCUCCUACAACAUUACAUUCUUAACUAACAUUCAGAAAAUCAAGUUUUGACAUUUGUGAAUGAUUUGAAUGGGUA